rnacentral:rRNA from 1 species
CCCUUAGAUGUCCUGGGCCGCACGCGCGCUACACUGAGUGUCUGAGAUACGAGUCUGCCUGGUCCGGCAAGGUCUAGGUAAUCGCUAAAAGACACAUCAUGCUUGGGAUAGAUUAUUGCAAAUAUUAAUCUUGAACGAGGAAUUCCUAGUAAGCGCAAGUCAACAGCUUGCGCUGAUUACGUCCCUGCCCUUUGUACACACCGCCCGUCGCUACUACUGAUUGGAUGUUUAAGCGAGGUUCUCGAACUGCUAGCGACUUAGCUUCGGUGAGGUCGCAGUGUGGGAAGUGAACCUAGCUUUGGUGUCUAGAGGAAGUAAAAGUCGUAACA